rnacentral:rRNA from 1 species
ACACGACUACAUUAGAUACCCGGUAGUCCUAGCCGUAAACGAUACUCGCUAGGUGUCGGCCACGGUGCGACCGUUGUCGGUGCCGUAGGGAAGCCGUGAAGCGAGCCACCUGGGAAGUACGGCCGCAAGGCUGAAACUUAAAGGAAUUGGCGGGGGAGCACCACAACGGGUGGAGCUUGCGGUUUAAUUGGAUUCAACGCCGGAAGUCUUACCGGGACCGACAGCAACAUGAAGGCCAGGCUGAAGACUUUGCCGGAUUAGCUG